rnacentral:rRNA from 1 species
UGAGGAAUAUUGGUCAAUGGGCGAGAGCCUGAACCAGCCAAGUAGCGUGCAGGAUGACGGCCCUAUGGGUUGUAAACUGCUUUUAUGUGGGGAUAAAGUGCGUGACGUGUCAUGCAUUGCAGGUACCACAUGAAUAAGGACCGGCUAAUUCCGUGCCAGCAGCCGCGGUAAUACGGAAGGUCCGGGCGUUAUCCGGAUUUAUUGGGUUUAAAGGGAGCGUAGGCUGUCUAUUAAGCGUGUUGUGAAAUUUACCGGCUCAACCGGUGGCUUGCAGCGCGAACUGGACGACUUGAGUAUGCAGGAAGUAGGCGGAAUUCAUGGUGUAGCGGUGAAAUGCUUAGAUAUCAUGACGAACUCCGAUUGCGCAGGCAGCUUACUGUAGCAUAACUGACGCUGAUGCUCGAAAGUGCGGGUAUCAAACAGG